GUGAGAACCUGCUCCUAGAGGGAUUCAUUCCCCUCCUAAAGGGCCAAUCUCAUGCUCAGGGCAGGACAGGGGCACUUUUGAGGCUGUAUCAGCCCAAGCCCCAACUGUGGGAGGUCCCCCCCAGACUAAUGGGGGUCCCAGACCCCAUCCCAGCAGCCAGGACUGGCUUUGUGCAGGAGAAUGAGGAGGACUCGCCCGUUUGUCACAGAUUUGAGGGAAUCCUGCGCGGAGCUGGAGGCACAAAGUUACAGGAGUUAUCUGACAGCAUCGAUUUGUUCGCAAAAGCUUUGCCAAAAAACGGCGACACCGUGCACCGACCUCCGGCCCCGCUCCGGGGAUGGACGCCCGUCAUGCCGAUGGAACCACGCCCCCCUGAUUACCGGGGACCCCGCCCCCUGAUUACCGGGGACCCCGCCCCCUGAUUACCGGGGACCCCGCCCCCUGAUUACCUGGGACCCCGCCCCCUCGUUACCGGGACCCCGCCCCCUGAUUACCGAUGACCCC